GCUUGUGUAGCCUAGUUGGUAGAGCACAAGGCUCUUCACCACGUGGUCUUAGGUUUAAAUCCCAUAGUUUGCA
rnacentral:tRNA from 7 species